ensembl:lncRNA GAS5 growth arrest specific 5
GUCUUUUCGAGGUAGGAGUCGACUCCUGUGAGGUAUGGUGCUGGGUGCAGAUGCAGUGUGGCUCUGGAUAGCACCUUAUGGACAGUUGUGUCCCCAAGGAAGGAUGAGAAUAGCUACUGAAGUAAGUUGAAAAUUCCCUCUCAAAAAGGUUUAAAGCCAUUGGAUGUGCCACAAUGAUGACAGUUUAUUUGCUACUCUUGAGUGCUAGAAUGAUGAGGAUCUUAACCACCAUUAUCUUAACUGAGGCACCCAAAAUGGUGAGUUGGGGAACAUAGAGAGUACACCUAAGUUCACAUGAAGUUGUUUCUUCCCAGGUCCUAAAGAGCAAGCCUAACUCAAGCCAUUGGCACACAGGCAUUAGACAGAAAGCUGGAAGUUGAAAUGGUGGAGUCCAACUUGCCUGGACCAGCUUAAUGGUUCUGCUCCUGGUAACGUUUUUAUCCAUGGAUGACUUGCUUGGGUAAGGACAUGAAGACAGUUCCUGUCAUACCUUUUAAAGGUACAUGUUUUAUUGAUGUUAACGUUAAUUGAUUGAGCUACUGUUAGUGAUGAUUUUAAAAUUAAAGCAGAUGGGAAUCUCUCUGAGAAAGAAAAUGGAGAUUAAUCUUAAACUGAAACAGUAGUUGGGAAAUCUUUUAGAAAUCCACCUAUUACUACCUAUUGGUAAAGGAGAUUAAAUUUCUACAGGUAUGGAGAGUCGGCUUGACUACACUGUGUGGAGCAAGUUUUAAAGAAGCAAAGGACUCAGAAUUCAUGAUUGAAGAAAUGCAGGCAGACCUGUUAUCCUAAACUAGGGUUUUUAAUGACCACAACAAGCAAGCAUGCAGCUUACUGCUUGAAAGGGUCUUGCCUCACCCAAGCUAGAGUGCAGUGGCCUUUGAAGCUUACUACAGCCUCAAACUUCUGGGCUCAAGUGAUCCUCAGCCUCCCAGUGGUCUUUGUAGACUGCCUGAUGGAGUCUCAUGGCACAAGAAGAUUAAAACAGUGUCUCCAAUUUUAAUAAAUUUUUGCAAUCCA